UACGGAGGGUGCAAACGUUGCUCGGAAUCAUUGGGCGUAAAGCGCACGUAGGCGGCUCAGCAAGUCGGGUGUGAAAGCCCUCGGCUCAACCGAGGAAGUGCAUUCGAAACUACUGAGCUUGAAUACUGGAGAGGAUCGCGGAAUUCCCGGUGUAGAGGUGAAAUUCGUAGAUAUCGGGAGGAACACCAGUGGCGAAGGCGGCGAUCUGGACAGAUAUUGACGCUGAGGUGCGAAGGCGUGGGGAGCAAACAGG
rnacentral:rRNA from 1 species